rnacentral:rRNA from 1 species
UUAAGCGACUAAGCGUACACGGUGGAUGCCCUGGCAGUCAGAGGCGAUGAAGGACGUGCUAAUCUGCGAUAAGCGUCGGUAAGGUGAUAUGAACCGUUAUAACCGGCGAUUUCCGAAUGGGGAAACCCAGUGUGUUUCGACACACUAUCAUUAACUGAAUCCAUAGGUUAAUGAGGCGAACCGGGGGAACUGAAACAUCUAAGUACCCCGAGGAAAAGAAAUCAACCGAGAUUCCCCCAGUAGCGGCGAGCGAACGGGGAGGAGCCCAGAGCCUGAAUCAGUGUGUGUGUUAGUGGAAGCGUCUGGAAAGGCGCGCGAUACAGGGUGACAGCCCCGUACACAAAAAUGCACAUGCUGUGAGCUCGAUGAGUAGGGCGGGACACGUGGUAUCCUGUCUGAAUAUGGGGGGACCAUCCUCCAAGGCUAAAUACUCCUGACUGACCGAUAGUGAACCAGUACCGUGAGGGAAAGGCGAAAAGAACCCCGGCGAGGGGAGUGAAAAAGAACCUGAAACCGUGUACGUACAAGCAGUGGGAGCACGCUUAGGCGUGUGACUGCGUACCUUUUGUAUAAUGGGUCAGCGACUUAUAUUCUGUAGCAAGGUUAACCGAAUAGGGGAGCCGAAGGGAAACCGAGUCUUAACUGGGCGUUAAGUUGCAGGGUAUAGACCCGAAACCCGGUGAUCUAGCCAUGGGCAGGUUGAAGGUUGGGUAACACUAACUGGAGGACCGAACCGACUAAUGUUGAAAAAUUAGCGGAUGACUUGUGGCUGGGGGUGAAAGGCCAAUCAAACCGGGAGAUAGCUGGUUCUCCCCGAAAGCUAUUUAGGUAGCGCCUCGUGAACUCAUCUCCGGGGGUAGAGCACUGUUUCGGCAAGGGGGUCAUCCCGACUUACCAACCCGAUGCAAACUGCGAAUACCGGAGAAUGUUAUCACGGGAGACACACGGCGGGUGCUAACGUCCGUCGUGAAGAGGGAAACAACCCAGACCGCCAGCUAAGGUCCCAAAGUCAUGGUUAAGUGGGAAACGAUGUGGGAAGGCCCAGACAGCCAGGAUGUUGGCUUAGAAGCAGCCAUCAUUUAAAGAAAGCGUAAUAGCUCACUGGUCGAGUCGGCCUGCGCGGAAGAUGUAACGGGGCUAAACCAUGCACCGAAGCUGCGGCAGCGACGCUUAUGCGUUGUUGGGUAGGGGAGCGUUCUGUAAGCCUGUGAAGGUGUGCUGUGAGGCAUGCUGGAGGUAUCAGAAGUGCGAAUGCUGACAUAAGUAACGAUAAAGCGGGUGAAAAGCCCGCUCGCCGGAAGACCAAGGGUUCCUGUCCAACGUUAAUCGGGGCAGGGUGAGUCGACCCCUAAGGCGAGGCCGAAAGGCGUAGUCGAUGGGAAACAGGUUAAUAUUCCUGUACUUGGUGUUACUGCGAAGGGGGGACGGAGAAGGCUAUGUUGGCCGGGCGACGGUUGUCCCGGUUUAAGCGUGUAGGCUGGUUUUCCAGGCAAAUCCGGAAAAUCAAGGCUGAGGCGUGAUGACGAGGCACUACGGUGCUGAAGCAACAAAUGCCCUGCUUCCAGGAAAAGCCUCUAAGCAUCAGGUAACAUCAAAUCGUACCCCAAACCGACACAGGUGGUCAGGUAGAGAAUACCAAGGCGCUUGAGAGAACUCGGGUGAAGGAACUAGGCAAAAUGGUGCCGUAACUUCGGGAGAAGGCACGCUGAUAUGUAGGUGAAGCGACUUGCUCGUGGAGCUGAAAUCAGUCGAAGAUACCAGCUGGCUGCAACUGUUUAUUAAAAACACAGCACUGUGCAAACACGAAAGUGGACGUAUACGGUGUGACGCCUGCCCGGUGCCGGAAGGUUAAUUGAUGGGGUCAGCGCAAGCGAAGCUCUUGAUCGAAGCCCCGGUAAACGGCGGCCGUAACUAUAACGGUCCUAAGGUAGCGAAAUUCCUUGUCGGGUAAGUUCCGACCUGCACGAAUGGCGUAAUGAUGGCCAGGCUGUCUCCACCCGAGACUCAGUGAAAUUGAACUCGCUGUGAAGAUGCAGUGUACCCGCGGCAAGACGGAAAGACCCCGUGAACCUUUACUAUAGCUUGACACUGAACAUUGAGCCUUGAUGUGUAGGAUAGGUGGGAGGCUUUGAAGUGUGGACGCCAGUCUGCAUGGAGCCGACCUUGAAAUACCACCCUUUAAUGUUUGAUGUUCUAACGUUGACCCGUAAUCCGGGUUGCGGACAGUGUCUGGUGGGUAGUUUGACUGGGGCGGUCUCCUCCUAAAGAGUAACGGAGGAGCACGAAGGUUGGCUAAUCCUGGUCGGACAUCAGGAGGUUAGUGCAAUGGCAUAAGCCAGCUUGACUGCGAGCGUGACGGCGCGAGCAGGUGCGAAAGCAGGUCAUAGUGAUCCGGUGGUUCUGAAUGGAAGGGCCAUCGCUCAACGGAUAAAAGGUACUCCGGGGAUAACAGGCUGAUACCGCCCAAGAGUUCAUAUCGACGGCGGUGUUUGGCACCUCGAUGUCGGCUCAUCACAUCCUGGGGCUGAAGUAGGUCCCAAGGGUAUGGCUGUUCGCCAUUUAAAGUGGUACGCGAGCUGGGUUUAGAACGUCGUGAGACAGUUCGGUCCCUAUCUGCCGUGGGCGCUGGAGAACUGAGGGGGGCUGCUCCUAGUACGAGAGGACCGGAGUGGACGCAUCACUGGUGUUCGGGUUGUCAUGCCAAUGGCACUGCCCGGUAGCUAAAUGCGGAAGAGAUAAGUGCUGAAAGCAUCUAAGCACGAAACUUGCCCCGAGAUGAGUUCUCCCUGACCCUUUAAGGGUCCUGAAGGAACGUUGAAGACGACGACGUUGAUAGGCCGGGUGUGUAAGCGCAGCGAUGCGUUGAGCUAACCGGUACUAAUGAACCGUGAGGCUUAACCUU